rnacentral:rRNA from 1 species
ACGAACGCUGGCGGCGCGCCUAACACAUGCAAGUCGAACGAAGUAUGAGGGAGCUUGCUCCCGAUUACUUAGUGGCGGACGGGUGAGUAACGCGUGAGUAACCUGCCUUUCAGAGGGGGAUAACGACUGGAAACGGUCGGUAAUACCGCAUAAAAUAUCGAAAUCGCAUGGUUUUGAUAUCAAAGGAGCAAUCCGCUGAAAGAUGGACUCGCGUCCAAUUAGCUAGUUGGUGAGGUAAUGGCUCACCAAGGCGACGAUUGGUAGCCGGACUGAGAGGUUGAACGGCCACAUUGGGACUGAGACACGGCUCAGACUCCUACGGGAGGCAGCAGUGGGGAAUAUUGCACAAUGGGCGAAAGCCUGAUGCAGCGACGCCGCGUGAGGGAAGAAGGUUUUCGGAUUGUAAACCUCUGUCCUCGGUGAAGAUAAUGACGGUAACCGAGGAGGAAGCCACGGCUAACUACGU